CGACAUGUAAAAGUAAAUAUGCUUAUACUUAAAGUUUAAGUACAUUUUUGGUAUUUUGAAUAUGUCAUAAAUAAUUCUUUAUACCUAAUGUAAACUUAUGUUGAAACAUUUUUGAAAAAAAAAUAUUUAGGCACCCUAUUCAUUUUAAUUUAUUUAUUUCUCAUUUUUAUUUAUUUACCCUUAUGUAGAUUUUUCAAAACUGUGGAAUAUAACUUAGUUUUUUUCUCUAUCGACUACCACUGUAGUACAAUUACAUCGGGAUCGAAGUCGGGCUCGAAAAGCAAUUUAUUUAAAAACAACACACCGCGCCGAAAUUCAAUUUUUUGGAGAGUUCCACGCAGCCAUGUUGAACUUGAUCAUGAUGUUGUACGGGAGGAAGGGGCGAAAGAGAAUUACUCGAAAAGGAAAAGCAUGAUAAACUUUGGAUGGAAUUUAUGUUUUAACAGAAGAUGAAGACAUUUACGACCCUGUUUAGCGUUGCAGUGUGGACUGUGCCUGAGACGAUUCCCCAUAACGCCGGCUAUGUAGACAGCUUGUGAAAAUGGAAUCCAAAUGCUCACAAGAAAUGACAAAAGCAGUUUGAAGAUUAACACAACGAAAUUGUGCCAGAAAAGUUUGAAGUAGCUAUGGGAAUGAUCAACAUUGAACUUGCUGAGGCUCUCUUCCUGAAAGUGACUUGACCAGAUAUUUGGCUACCCAGUAUGAGUAUCUUUCUGCUACAUUAAAUAAAAUAUCCUGGAGGAACAUGAAGAAAAGGGCUGCGCACCUCAACAUAUUCAAGGUCAAGCAGCUUUUUACCAUAUCCAUAGUAUCUUGCUGCUAAAUGAAAGAAUUAGUGUG